rnacentral:rRNA from 1 species
AUACGGAGGGUGCAAGCGUUAUUCGGAAUCACCGGGCGUAAAGGACGCGUAGGCGGGUUGGCAAGUCAGAUGUGAAAUCCUACAGCUUAACUGUAGAACUGCAUUUGAAACUGCUAACCUAGAGUAUGGGAGGGGGAGAUGGAAUUAGUGGUGUAGGGGUAAGAUCCGUAGAUAUCACUAGGAAUACCGAAAGCGAAGGCGAUCUCCUGGAACAUAACUGACGCUAAGGCGUGAAAGCGUGGGGAGCAAACAGGAUUAGAUACCCUAGUAGUCC